GGUCAGCUUCACUUUAGGGGAGGCUGCUGAAGCCCGGACUCUUCACUGAUUCUUGAAUUGCAGACAAGUGGAUCCGGAGGAAGGAAAAUUCCAAGGGAGAAUUGAGAGGCCUGGAGAAAGUGAGGGAUGGGUGUGCCCCAGGGGUAUGGUGACUGACCUAGGCUGGACUUAACCCUAGCUAACAGGCCAGGUAGGAAUUCAGGCGGUUCAGUCCUUUGUGUCCCCUGCACUCCCCUGUAGAUGUGCACUUUCGAAUGCUCUCAGGAUGGUAGCUAGAACUGGGGGUGUUAAGCAAGGGAGUACAUUCCUUUGAUGCUAUUUUUAGAAGAAAGCUCUGGAGCAUUGGGUUUGUACAGAGGAGCAGCUGGAACUGUUGGGGGGUGCGAACCCAUGAAGCCUGCCGACCUGGGUGUCUGUGGGUGGAAACUAUCUGUUUUCUGGAUCUGUUACACUUGGCAACCAGGCAAGAGGCAAGAGAGAGUGGAGGUGACAUGGCCAUCCGUGUCAUUGGGCAAGGGACCCCAAAGUCCUAGGGAGAGAGAGCCCUCCAUCCUGGGGGUGGAAAUAUUCCAGUGUUAUCUAGUUAGCAGGAAAUGCCAAAAAUGGCUGUAGGGACAGGGGAGAGGUCUUUUGCCUGACAGGGUCUGACACUGUUGGGGCAGAUUGUGCCAAAAAAGUGUCAAAGGAAUGGAAAGUGUGUGCCCACCCCACCACCACACAACCCCACCCCUACACAAAACAAUGCACACACAAAAAACUAAAUAAAUGAAUAAACACGAGAGAGAGAGAGAGAGAGAGAGAGAGAGAGAGAGAGAGACGCUUAUGUAUGCAUGUGUACAAAUGGUUGUUUCCUAGACUUCUGCAAUAGACCUUUUGUCCCUAGUCUAUGGUGCACUCAGUCUAGUCUUUCCCAGUCUGGGGACAGAGUAGGUUGGCAGAGGUUGCAGGACUGAGGGAAGGCUGGGACCUGGGACCUGGGGCAGUGUAUCCCCUAUCUGGGCACCCAGGAACAGAAGAGAAACACCAGAACAGUGGGAGCUUCCCCCACGGUUUCUACAUUGUGGCCUCCUGGGCCGGACCCUGUGCUGAAAACUUCUUAGAGCUCGAGUAGCAGGGGUCAGUGGCACCUCGGGUAACCCAUCUUACAGAUCAAAAAGAAAAUGACCUUUGCCCCAAAGGCUUGAUUCUUUAUAGAAUGUAGCUAACUGAUCUGCCCAGCCAAGUACCCGGCUGCACAGCUGUGAUCCUCUCUAUCCCCAACCCCUGACCCCGAGAAGCAGAAGGACACCACCAUGGACUUACACAGUGGAGCCGAAUCUCUAAAUAAAUAUCUUCAAAAAAGUGUCUGCGACUUGGCUUUUGUAUAUAGACUUUGUGAAUUAAAAAGGGCACAGGUAUGUGUGUGCCUUCCUGGACAGCCAGAACCCAGGCAGUGGGAAUGGUGGCCUUUUUUACACUCUACAGAUGUCUAAUAUUCAAUUUUAAGGUUUUUGUAUUUUUUUCUAUGUAAACCUCCUUCACCUAUUCAAGUCUUCAGUAAAGUCUGCUGAAACAC
ensembl:lncRNA